UACGAAGGGGGCUAGCGUUGCUCGGAAUUACUGGGCGUAAAGCGCACGUAGGCGGAUUCUUAAGUCGGUGGUGAAAUCCUGGAGCUCAACUCCAGAACUGCCUUCGAUACUGGGAAUCUUGAGUCCGGGAGAGGUGAGUGGAACUGCGAGUGUAGAGGUGAAAUUCGUAGAUAUUCGCAAGAACACCAGUGGCGAAGGCGGCUCACUGGCCCGGUACUGACGCUGAGGUGCGAAAGCGUGGGGAGCAAACAGG
rnacentral:rRNA from 1 species